UACGGAAGGGGCAAGCGUUGUUCGGAAUCAUUGGGCGUAAAGGGCGCGUAGGUGGUUCUGUAUGUCUACCGUGAAAGCGUACGGCUCAACCGUAUUUUGUCGGUGGAAACUGCAGGACUUGAGGCUGGGAGGGGCUGGUGGAAUUCCCUGUGUAGCGGUGAAAUGCGUAGAUAUCGUAAGGAAGACCAGUGGCGAAGGCGGGUCUCUGGACAGUUCCUGACGCUGAGGCACGAAGGUCAGGGGGAGCGAACAGG
rnacentral:rRNA from 1 species